CCUACGGGAGGCAGCAGUGAGGAAUAUUGGUCAAUGGACGAGAGUCUGAACCAGCCAAGUAGCGUGAAGGAUGACUGCCCUCUGGGUUGUAAACUUCUUUUAUAUGGGAAUAAAAUGUUCCACGUGUGGGAUUUUGUAUGUACCAUAUGAAUAAGGAUCGGCUAACUCCGUGCCAGCAGCCGCGGUAGUACGGAGGAUCCGAGCGUUAUCCGGAUUUAUUGGGUUUAAAGGGAACGUAGGUGGAUUGUUAAGUCAGUUGUGAAAGUUUGCGGCUCAACCGUAAAAUUGCAGUUGAAACUGGCAGUCUUGAGUACAGUAGAGGUGGGCGGAAUUCGUGGUGUAGCGGUGAAAUGCUUAGAUAUCACGAAGAACUCCGAUUGCGAAGGCAGUUCACUGGACUGCAACUGACACUGAGGCUCGAAAGUGUGGGUAUCAAACAGGAUUAGAUACCCUAGUAGUC
rnacentral:rRNA from 1 species